UACGGAGGGUGCUAGCGUUGUUCGGAAUGACUGGGCGUAAAGCGCGCGUAGGCGGCUUGGUAAGUCGGAAGUGAAAUCCCAGGGCUUAACCCUGGAAUGGCUUUCGAAACUGCCUUGCUAGAGUAUGGUAGGGGAUAGUGGAAUUCCUAGUGUAGAGGUGAAAUUCGUAGAUAUUAGGAGGAACACCGGAGGCGAAGGCGGCUAUCUGGACCAUUACUGACGCUGAGGCGCGAAAGCGUGGGGAGCAAACAGG
rnacentral:rRNA from 1 species